rnacentral:antisense_RNA from 1 species
CAGAUGUUCCCAGGACGCGAGCUAAGUCCGCCCGGCCGGCGCGCGCCGCUUCCGCUUUAGUGGGAAGGACCUCAUUUCCUCCUUACAGAAACACUUUCUCCAGGUCGGGCCGCGCUUGGUAAACUUCAGCCGUGCCUAGGUACAGGACGCCGGGCUAGGCCGAGCGGGGGUGGAAUGAGGGCGUCUGGAACAGAGAAAACUAAGUAGGAUGGGGUCGUCCCGCCAGUAAUCUGGAAAACAGUGAUAGGAAUAGGCUCCUCUCAUCAGACGGCAGUGCUGGCCGUUUCCUCACUGCUUUGUGGGGAAGGCUGGGCAGAAAAAGGAUACGACCUUGUUCUCAACCACUUGCUAUCUCGUGAUUCAGGGAUUGGAUGAGUCUCUAUGGUUUGUUUUGCCCUGAAGAGCAGAAGGCUUCUGUCCCAACUGGUGUUGCCAAAGCAACAUAUUAAUUCCAUGCCAUGAUCCUGGGUCAAGAUCUGCACAAUCUGAUUGGGCAUAUCACCUCGGAUGGUAAGGGAGUGGAAGUGGUCAAAAUCAUGGAGUCCCAGCUUUCGGAGACGCCUUGCAGCUGCCCGGUAACACUUCCAGGGUUGGGGCUCCACAAGAAGGUAGCGGCAGAGGGAGGAAAGAUGGGCCAGGAACUCCCACAGGCCAUGGUCUCCAUGAUUCAGAUGAAUCCACAUGGUUAUUGACAUGCAGAAGCCAAUGUCAAAAACUGAACGUCCAAAUUGGCUUAAGAAAGAGCUUAAGAGAACCUUCCGGGUCCUUUGGUUCAUGAAGUCCAGGGUGAUAAAGGUCAAGGCAUCAGGAAAAGGACAUUCUUUUUCAGCUCGCUUCACCAGGACUGGAUCUAUGUCGCAGCAGAGGAGACGGAAUUCUCUUGAGGCAUCUGAGCAGGUCUUCCCGUCAGGUAGGGAGAGGAAGUGUUUGUAUAGAGCCACACUCAGAUCCUAGAGGAAUCCAAAACAGCUUUGUCACUGCAGUUCUCAAUCAGUGAAUGGAAGAGAAAUUUGUAUCAUUCUCCCACUGAGAAUGCCACUUACCUCUGGCUGUAUAGGAUGUGAGGUUCCUAAACCAUAACCUAAAGAGGCUGUGCAAAAAUUUCCCACAGAGUAGGCUCUCAGUACCCUCCAGGGGUCACAUGCUGUAAUGCAUCAUCCCCAUAUUUUCCUGACACUGAUGAUAGAUUGGGUUGUAUAGCUGAAAGUUACAGCCAAAUGGAUGCAGCAAAGGAGCCUACAGCAGUAUUUCCCAGCUUAAGUAAUAUGCUGAUAAACUCACUCUUUUUCUGGGUAUCUCAAGACCCCAGGGAGGAGGAAAGGGGUCCAGAGGCAUAACCAGUGUCUCUUACCACCAGGAAAGUGACGAAUACAGCAAGCACCAUCUUAUAAAAACCUGCUUCUCAGACCCGCAGUGGGGGAAGUCUGGAUUCCAAAGUCCUCAUUCAGCCUUCACUAUAGCUUCAAUUUUACUGUCUUAGGAUUCACCACCUCCUUCUGAGACAUUCUGCUUCUAUAACCAUCAUUGCUAAAAGUCACUGCUAACAACCUUCUAGACAAGUCCAAUGAUUUGUGAUUUUUACCACAUUAGCACCUUUUUUACUCUUAAGUCACCAUCUCCUUUCUCUAACUUUGAAUUCUUUUUUUUUUUUUGAGACAAAGUCUGGUUCUGUCGGCCAGGCUGGAGUGCAAUGGUGUGAUCUCAGCAACCUCUGCCUCCCAGGUUCAAGCGAUUCUCCUGCCUCAGCCUCCUAAGUAGCUGGGAUUACAAGCACCACACUCAGCUAAUUUUUGUAUUUUUAGUAGAGACAGGGUUUCACCAUGUUGGCCAGGCUGGUCUUUAACUGACCUCAAGUGAUCUACCUGCCUCGGCCUCCCAAAGUGCUGGGACUAUAGGAAUGAGCCACUGCACCUGACCUCUUUGAUUUCUAUAACCAUUAUAACUAACUGAAAUUUGUUUUUCCACAUAGUAUUUUCAAGGCAUUUUUCUGUUUACUACUUUAUUUGCUUGGUGUAACAAGCAUGUGAGGAAAAUAUUUAUUUAUGCCUUUUGUGCAGGUGAAGAAAAUGCACAAUGGAAACCACCCAGAUGUCCAAUGAUAGUGGCAUGGACAAAUAAAUGUGGUAUAAUCAUGAAGAUAGAAUACUAAAUAGCAGUAAAAAAUGAAGGCACCCAGCUUGGUGCACAACAUGGAUGAUUCUCACAAAUACAUAAUGUUGAGAAAAAAAGCAAGCCAUAACAGAAAAUAUAUGACAAGCAUCCAUUUACAUGAAGCUCGAAAAUGGGUGAAAUUAAAGUACAUCGUUCAGGGAAGAAAAACAGUACACUAUAAAGAAAAGCAAGGAAACAACAGAAGGCUAGUUGUUACCUCUGGGUAGAGAUAGACGUUUAUGAACAGGAAAAGGCAUAUAGGGGAAGUUGUGGGAUGCUGAAAAUGUUUAUUUUUUAUUUAUUUAUUUAUUUAUUUUUGAGACAGGGUCUUACUCUGUUUCCCAGGCUGGAGUACGUGGCGUGAUCACUGCAGCCUUGACUUCCCAGGCUCCAGAGAUCCUCCUACUUCAGCCUUAUGAGUAGCUGGAACCACGGGUGCACACCACCAUGCCCAGCUAAUUUUUGUAUUUUUGGUAGGGAUGAGAUUUUGCCAUGUUGCCCAGGCUGAUCUCGAACUCCUGAGCUCAAGCAAUCCACCAGCGUCAGCCUCUGAAAAUGUUGGGAUUACAGGCAUCAGCCACUGCGCCCAGCAGUCUUUUGGGUUUUUUGUUGUUGUUUUAUUUGAGACAGGGUCACUUUGUCACCCAGGCUGGGGUAUGUGGCACAAUUAAGGCUCACUGCAGCCUCGACCUCCUGGGUUCAAGCGAUCCUCCUCCCUCAGCUCUCUAAGUAGCUGGGACUACAGAUGCCCACCACCACACCUGGCUAAUUUUUUUUAGAGAUGGGGUUUUGCCAUGUUGCCCAGGCUGGGAAAGGAGUUUUUAAAACUGAAAAAAAAAAAGCACUCAUAAAUUAUGGUACAUCUAUCCAAUGAAACAUUAGGAAGCUGCUAAAAAAAGAAUGCGGUGAUAUAAUCUCAGA